AUCUAUAAAGUAUAUGAAAUUUGCUACAAACACAUUUACUGUUUUGUUUUAUUUAAAUAUAUAUU
rnacentral:tRNA from 1 species